UUGAUCCUGGCUCAGAUUGAACGCUGGCGGCAGGCCUAACACAUGCAAGUCGAACGGUAACAGGAAGCAGCUUGCUGCUUUGCUGACGAGUGGCGGACGGGUGAGUAAUGUCUGGGAAACUGCCUGAUGGAGGGGGAUAACUACUGGAAACGGUAGCUAAUACCGCAUAACGUCGCAAGACCAAAGAGGGGGACCUUCGGGCCUCUUGCCAUCGGAUGUGCCCAGAUGGGAUUAGCUAGUAGGUGGGGUAACGGCUCACCUAGGCGACGAUCCCUAGCUGGUCUGAGAGGAUGACCAGCCACACUGGAACUGAGACACGGUCCAGACUCCUACGGGAGGCAGCAGUGGGGAAUAUUGCACAAUGGGCGCAAGCCUGAUGCAGCCAUGCCGCGUGUAUGAAGAAGGCCUUCGGGUUGUAAAGUACUUUCAGCGGGGAGGAAGGGAGUAAAGUUAAUACCUUUGCUCAUUGACGUUACCCGCAGAAGAAGC
rnacentral:rRNA from 1 species